rnacentral:lncRNA from 1 species
GGCGCCUGUAAUUCAGGGGUUGUCGUUUGUGUAUGUGAUACAAUUUUUUUUUCGUUAAUUUUUCUAUAAAUUAGGCUGUUAGUUUUCUCGUUUGAAUUGUUUUACAUUGUCAUAUUGGGGCCUUUUAUAGCCGACUAUGCGGUAUGGGCUUUGCUCAUUGUUGAAGGCCGUACGUUGACCUAUAGUUGUUAAUGUCUGUGUUAUUUUGGUUUUUUGUGGACAGAGGUCUCAUUGGCCAUCAUACCACAUUUUUUUUUAUAUUUUACAGAAGCUUCUGACAAUCAAAAGAUAGUAUCGAGAGGAAUUUUUUUAUUGAUUUUUUUUCGUCAUUUUUGUUAACAGCAAAAGUAGGCGAGACACUGGGUUCCGCAUCUUUGUUAGCUAAGGGUUACGAUCCAUUCCCGUUCUCUCCACGGUGCCGACGUGGAGAAAACGGGAGUGGAUCGUAAUCCUUGGCAAGCGAAGAUGUGGGUUCCGCAGAACCCUUACAAAUUUUCAACCCUGAAAUUCGAC